rnacentral:tRNA from 1 species
GGGCACGUAGCUCAGCUGGUUAGAGCGCACGAUUCACAUUCGUGAGGUCAGAGGUUCGACUCCUCUCGUGCCGACCA